UCCAGUGAUGGCACAUCUUUGAGACCUGAGUUUUCUCUGUUGAUGAAAAACAUAAGCAUAUUACCUGAGGGA
rnacentral:snoRNA from 1 species